rnacentral:pre_miRNA from 1 species
AUAGUACUCCCUCCGUCCGAAAAUACUUGUCCUAAAAAUAGAUAAAAUGGAUGUAUCUAUAACUAAAAUAAGUCUAGAUACAACCAUUUCUAGGACAAGUAUUUCCGGACGGAGGGAGUAGUUA